UUCAAAUAUAACUUUUAAAAAGUAAAUCGAGUAAAUGAGAGUCAAUUUCAUUUAAUUUUUAAACAUUUGCUUUUAAAUCGGCAGGCGGAGAUUUCACGCAAUCCUACAAGGAUCUUAUGUCUGUGAUAACCUAAUGCUGCAGUAUAACCUGGGAAUUAUGGAAAAAAGGAUUCAUCCAAACGCGAAUUUGUGCAAUAUAUGGAAAGCUGCGAGCGGACUUCAAAAAGUAGGAUUUAAAAGAGGAGGUCUUUAGAGUUUACAGCUGCCCAUAAUAGUCAAUACGCAAAGCGUCAAAGAAUAAGAUCCGGUUCUCCCGUGAAAACCAACUGCCAGAUUCAACAGUCAAAUUGAAAUAUCAAUUUCAUAAAAUUAAUAACGCUAAAAAAGUUUUCGAGAAUACCUAAAGUAAUUUUUUUUAUUUUCCUGUUUAUAAGAUUUGUAAUUCUUGAGGAUAAUUAAUGUUUUCCUUUUUUUGUUCAUAAGCUUUUCAAUUCACAAAGUCCAUAAAUUUACGUAAUUGUUGACGUUAAACUAUUUUUUUAAAUUUUCAAGUCAAUUCUCGAAGUUUUCCUAUUUUUCUAUUGAUAAGUUUUUCAAUUUAUAAACUUCAUAAAUUUAUGAAAUUUUUGACUUCACCUAAUUUUUAAAAAAUGUCCAAAUUAGUUUUCGAAGUCAAUUUUUUCAUAUUUUUUUAUUUAUAAAUUUUACAAUUUAUAAAACUCAUAAAUUUAUGAAGUUGUUGACGUUAAACUAUUUUUUAAAAAAUGUUCAAGUUAAUUGUCGAAGUUAUUUUUUUUCUUCGAUUUUUUCUUAUUAUUGAUGUUAAAAUGUUCAAAGAAAUUUAAUAUACCUUAAUAAAUAAUUUUUUUUAAUAAUAAA